rfam:Ipomoea nil DNA, scaffold: scaffold0636, cultivar: Tokyo-kokei standard.
AGCGUGGUUGAUCUGCCAGUAGUCUAUAUGCUUGUUCUCAUAAGAUUAAGGCAUGCAUGUGUAAGUAUGAACUAAUUCAAGAACUGUGAAACUGGCGAAUGGCUCAUAAAUUCAGUUAUAGUUUGUUGAUGGUAGCCUUACUACACGGAUAACCGUAUAAAUUCUAGAGCUAUCUAACGUGCAACAAACACCCGACUUCCUGAAGGGAUGGCAUUUAAUUAGAUUAAACGUGCGACGGCGGGCUCUGGGCCGCGUUGCUUGGCGAUGAUUCAUGAUACUCGACGGAUCGGCAACGGUCCAUUAGCGCCGGCGACAGCAUCAUUUCAAAUUUCCUGGCCCUAUCAACUUUCAUGGUAGGAAUAGUGCCUACCAAUGGUGGUGAACCGGGUGACGGAGAUUAGGGGUUCGAUUCGCGGAGAAGGAGCCUGAGAAAACGGGCUAACCUACAUCGCAAGGACAGGCGCAGCGCGCAAAAAUUACCCACCUGAACAGCGGGAGGUAGUGCAAUAAAUAACAAUAACCGGGCUCGAUCGACGUCUUGGUAAAUUGGAAUGGUACAAUCUAAAUCCCUUACGAGAUCCAUUGAGGCAAGUCUGGUGCCCAGCAGCCGCGGUAAGUCUCUAAGCUCACAAUAAGCGUCAUAUUUAAGUUGUUGCAGUUAAAUAAGAGCUCGUAAGUUGGACUUUGGGAUGGCCGGCCAGUCAGCCCACGGUGUGCACCGGUCGUCUCGUCCCCUUCUGCCGGCGAUGCGCUCCUGCCUAAAUUGGGCCGGUGUCGUUCCUCCGCGCUACUGUUACUUUGAAAGAAUUAGAGUGCUCAAAGCAAGCCUACGCUCUGUAUACAUUAGCAUGGUAUAACAACAUUAUAGGGAUUUUUCGGUCCUAUUACGUUGGCCUAUCGGAUCGGAGUAAUAUUAACAGGGAAAGUCGGGCAUUCGUAUUCAUAGUCAGAGGUGGAAAUUCUUGAAUUUAUGAAAAGACGAAUCAAACUGCGAGAGCAUUUGCCGAAGGAUGUUUCUCAUUAAUCAAGACGAAAUUGGGGGGCUCGACAGACGUCAGAUACCGUCCUAAAGUCUCAAACCAAUAAACGGUCUGAUGCCGACGCAGGAUCGCGGAUGGUUGCUUUUAGGAGCUCCGCCGCACCUUAUGAGUAAAUCAAAGUCUUUGGGUUGCGCGAGGGGGGGGGGGAGUAUGGUCGCAAGCUGAAAAUUAAGGAAUUGACGAAAGGGCACCGAACCAUGAAGGGGAGGAGUGGAGCCUGCGGCUUAAAUUUACAUCAACACGGGAAACUUACGCAGGUCCAGACCAUAGUAAGGGAUUGACAGACUGAGAGCAUCUUUCGAGAAUUCUAAUGGGUGGUGGCAUGGCCCGUUCUAAGUUGGGUGGAGCGAUUUGUCUGGUUUAAUCCCGUUAUACGAACGAGACCUCAGCCUUGCCUAAACUAGCUAUGCGGAGGGUAAUCCUCCCGCGGCGCCCAGCUUCUUAGGAGGGACUACGCCUUUCAAGCCUGCGGAAGUUUGAGCAAUAACAGGUCUGUGCUGCCCUUAGAUGUUCUGGCCGCACUGCGCGCUACAUACUGAAUGUAUUCAACGGAGCAUAUAGCCUUUGGCUGACAAGGCCGGGUAAAUCUUUGGAAAUUUCAUCCGUGAUGGGAUAGAUCAUAUGCAUUGUUGGUCUUCAACGAAGGAAAUUCCUAGUAAGCGCGAGGUUCAUAGCUCCCGGCGUUGACUACGUCCCUGCCCUUUGUACAUCGACGCGCCCCGUCGCUCCUACCGAUUGGAACCUAUCCGGUGAAGUGUUCAGGAUCGCCGGCGACGUGGCGUUCGCAUUGCCCGCGACGCCGAGAAAGUCCACUUGAACCUUAUCAUUUAGAGGAGAGAAGUCGUAACAAGGUUCCGUAGUGAACCUGGCGACCUUCC